rnacentral:rRNA from 1 species
UACGAAGGGGGCUAGCGUUGCUCGGAAUCACUGGGCGUAAAGGGUGCGUAGGCGGGUCUUUAAGUCAGGGGUGAAAUCCUGGAGCUCAACUCCAGAACUGCCUUUGAUACUGAAGAUCUUGAGUUCGGGAGAGGUGAGUGGAACUGCGAGUGUAGGGGUGAAAUUCGUAGAUAUUCGCAAGAACACCAGUGGCGAAGGCGGCUCACUGGCCCGAUACUGACGCUGAGGCACGAAAGCGUGGGGAGCAAACAGG